rnacentral:lncRNA from 1 species
AUUCAGCAUCAGUGCUCCAAAUACUCCAUCCUACAAUUAGAGAAACCACUGAAUUCCGAUAUCCUCCACCCAAAUGGUAAUGAAGAUUGGAGAAAGUGACGCCCAUGCAUAGCGGAGAAGUGGAUUGCAGAUAUAACAAGGAGCACAGUAAACUGAGAUGUAAAACACCUUAUUCAACAACGAGGAUGCUGACUCAAAAGCAAAAGUUGAAGCACAUUAUGAAUGAAUGUCAAAAGGGAAAAAUCUAAAGCUAACAUAAAAGAGUGCAACUACAUCAAAUUGGAUAAGGAAUAGUAUUUUAUAGCCAAUUAAUGAAUAUUUAAAGGACAUCAACCUCAUCUCUUUGAAACACAUAUGAACAUAGUUGAGCUAGAGGGUGACAUGAUGUAUAUAUUUAAUCCAGAGGCAUUUUUGUUAAAAUUUUUCAACAGUUUUAAUCACAUGUAUUUAGUGAUUCAUAUAAUUGCUAAAUUAUAAUCUAACCAAAUAGCCAGAAGUAACUUUUAUAUCAUUUGUUACAUAAUCAUAAUUGGCCAG